GUGGGGAUGACGUCAAAUCAUCAUGCCCCUUUAUGACCUGGGCUACACACGUGCUACAAUGGUUGGUACAACGAGUUGCGAGUCGGUGACGGCGAGCUAAUCUCUUAAAGCCAAUCUCAGUUCGGAUUGUAGGCUGCAACUCGCCUACAUGAAGUCGGAAUCGCUAGUAAUCGCGGAUCAGCACGCCGCGGUGAAUACGUUCCCGGGCCUU
rnacentral:rRNA from 1 species